CAAGGUUCAAAUUACAUUUGUUUUGACGUACAUGCUCUUGACAGAUCGGAAAAUCGCCAUUAUAUCAAUAUAUGCAAACCGUGAAAGAAUGGUACUCUGUAGAAAUAUCAGAAAAACUUUGUUUUAUUAAGUAAACAGUGAGUCAUGAAGUGUUUAUAAGCAACUUUCAUAUUUUAAGUCAAAAAUAAAUUAAAUGGAACAAAAUCUCGAAGUCUGAGAUUUUUUUUUAACCUCACCAUUUAGUAGGUAAACCUCUUUGACUUGGGAAGACAUUUAGACUGUGAGCCGGGCAUUCUAUUUGCUCUUUUUUGGUGUAUAACUUGUGCAAAUGAUUUGGUGAAUUUGAACAAUUGUUCCAGUGAUAGGGUUGUAUAAAGAAAGCUUAUUGAUAAUUGUAGGAUUAAUCUUUGAAAAUGUUGAAAAACACCACUUUAGUACCAUUUAAAAUGCCCGGUAAGCACUCACAAUUAAAAUAAUAACAAAGGAUGCUUAAAUAAUGAUUACCAUAGCUAAAAUAGUUGCUAGUUAUUUAAUAAAUAUAAAAACUCAAUGGCUAAUACUUGUGAAUUGUUGUGAAUCCUACCCAUUUAAAUAGGGUCAGCCCUGUCUUUAUAUGUCAAACCAUGAAAACCUAUUUAACGUAGCAUUUUAGGACAUCUCUUAUAGAAGUAAAAACUAUGUAACAUUUGUGAGAAAUAAGAAAAGCCACACAUACAACAUCAAUUACACGUGAGAUACAUUUAGCAAAUCAUAGUAGAAUGACUUUUGAGAAGAUGUGAUGUGGUUUCGAACAAGAUCACUGGUAUUAAUAUCCCAUAUAUCUUGUCGCUUAAUGACUUUCACAGGUCAGAAUAUUCUGUAGGAAUUACUACUGAAUGCCACUGGGACACUGGGUAAAAAGCAUAGAAGAGGAUUCUUUUAAACAUGUUUAUUGGGGAUCACACCUAAAAAUAGCUGACAAAUGUUUGUCCAUGCAGUGCAAUAGCUAUCAAAGGAAUGUUCCCACUUGUUAGAAUUUUGAAUUACUUUGAUAAAUCUCCACGUACACCUCAGUUAUGGCUGUAAUCUCCAUGGUGAUACAUGGUAUUAGACUUUAAUUUUUCCGCCUUUCCGUGUAAAAUUCCCUUAAGUCUUUGUAUCCAGGAAGUAGAAUGGUUAUAGUCUAUAUACCUAACCCAACGAUUUUUGAUGGUUAAGAAAAUAUUUUGGAAAGUAUCCUCAAAUCAUGAUCUGAGCAAGAGAGAUGUAAUGUGUAUCACACGUAUAAAGGCAUGUUCACUGUAUAUUAAUAAAUGUACUUUAAGUACGUAAAUCAGGCGUACCAAUCAGAAAUACUAUUGCUCAGUUAACAUAAUUGUACUCAUUCAAUAAAUGCCAUUGUUCUCUCUUAUUGCUAGAAGCACAUAAUUCAGUUGUCCUAUAAUAUAUGGCUAUAUAAUACUAUUUAUAAUAUUACAAUUUACUUGGCAGACUUUAAAAGUUAGAGAGGUCA